CUCAGGACGAACGCUGGCGGCGUGCCUAAUACAUGCAAGUCGAACGCUUCUUUUUCCACCGGAGCUUGCUCCACCGGAAAAAGAGGAGUGGCGAACGGGUGAGUAACACGUGGGUAACCUGCCCAUCAGAAGGGGAUAACACUUGGAAACAGGUGCUAAUACCGUAUAACAAUCGAAACCGCAUGGUUUUGAUUUGAAAGGCGCUUUCGGGUGUCGCUGAUGGAUGGACCCGCGGUGCAUUAGCUAGUUGGUGAGGUAACGGCUCACCAAGGCCACGAUGCAUAGCCGACCUGAGAGGGUGAUCGGCCACAUUGGGACUGAGACACGGCCCAAACUCCUACGGGAGGCAGCAGUAGGGAAUCUUCGGCAAUGGACGAAAGUCUGACCGAGCAACGCCGCGUGAGUGAAGAAGGUUUUCGGAUCGUAAAACUCUGUUGUUAGAGAAGAACAAGGAUGAGAGUAACUGUUCAUCCCUUGACGGUAUCUAACCAGAAAGCCACGGCUAACUACGUGCCAGCAGCCGCGGUAAUACGUAGGUGGCAAGCGUUGUCCGGAUUUAUUGGGCGUAAAGCGAGCGCAGGCGGUUUCUUAAGUCUGAUGUGAAAGCCCCCGGCUCAACCGGGGAGGGUCAUUGGAAACUGGGAGACUUGAGUGCAGA
rnacentral:rRNA from 1 species